rnacentral:lncRNA from 1 species
UGCCUCCAUCUUGGAUAAACUCCUUUUCUAAGAAUAUGACAUGAUAGCUCACAAUCAUAUUGUGAUCCUCAAGAAGAUAGAAAUAGUAUCCCAUGAUUUUUUUAGGAUACCCUAUAAAAUGAGUCUUAAAAGAUCUAGCCUCUAACUUAUCCAUUUGCUAUUACUUGACAUGGGCCAGAUAUCCCCAAAUCUUGAGAUAUCCAAGAAUUGGCUUCUUAUCAUGCC